rnacentral:precursor_RNA from 11 species
GUUCUGUGUUUUCAACUCGGCCUGCAGAUAAGCAGGAGUGAAUGCAUGAGUUUGGCAUUUGAAACUAAUUCAUGCAUUCACUUCUGCUGAUCUUCUGUGCGGAUGAUCUUCAGUUCAUUU